rnacentral:lncRNA from 10 species
UCUCCUCUGCCUUUGCCUCUUUUAAAAAGUUCUAAGUUGCUGGCUAAUCAGGACAAAUACAGAAUGUGAGGUGCAGGGAGCUGAAGGCCCCUGGGAAGUGACCAACUCAGCAUUUCGCUGGAGGCUAUAGGAUCAAACAGCAAACUGUUUAUCAUGAAUGCAGGAUGUGGGCAAACUCACACUGCCCUGCCACCAAAAGUCCCCCUAGGUCCAUGCAGGUUACAUAGUGGUGCCCCAAACAGUGACACAAUUGGGUUCUCAACAAGUGGUGACUCAGAACAGGGACGCCAAGGAUGCCAACAAGUGGCGUCUGAACACGGGACUUCGACGAUGUGAACAAAAAAGAUCUGCUGGAGCAGAGAAGCUGAAAUUGACAAGGCAAACGGGGACCCCAGGAUGAGUCUGCCGGCAGCAUAUAUAAGGACCUGCCACCCAUGGCCGCCAUGGACCAAUCAACACACACUUCCUCCCCUCUGAGGUCCAUAAAAGCCACGGGCUCAGCAAGAGCCAGCAGAGGAUGGAGAGAGGACUGGAUGAUCAGCCGCAGAGAGGAGAUACUGUCUCUGCUGAGAGUUGGAGAUAAUGAGAUGACCAGCUGCAGAGAGGAGCUACCCUCUCUGCUGAGAGCUGUAGAGAUCACAGGAUGACCUGCCAGCAGAGAGGAGCCACCCUCUCCAGGGCCUCCUCUGCUGAGAGCUGCAGAUAUCAGGAUGACCAGUUGCAGAGAGGAGCUACCUUCUCCAGGCCCUCCUCUCUGCUGAGAGCUGAACACUUGACAGGACUACCUGCCUGCAGAGAGGAGCUACCUUCUCCAGGCCCUCCUCUCUGCUGAGAGCUGAACACUUGACAGGACUACCUGCCUACAGAGAGGAGCUACCCUCUGUGGGUCUCCUCUGAGCUGUCAUAACACUCAA